UCUUCGCCCCGCCCUGACAGCGAGCCGGAGGAGCCGUACCUUCUAAGGUCAUCUUUGCUCACCUACUCAUCAAAAAUCCAGCCCUGUUAUUUAAAAUCCGAUUUCCUGGGAGUCUUCACGUGGGACCUUUGGGAUGGAGGAGGUAAGAGGUUGCCUUGAGUUUCAGAAGAGACUUUGGACUUUUGAAGUGUUAAACUCUUAAAAGACUAUGGGGACUUUUGAAGUUGGACUACAUAGUUUUGCAUCAUGAGAUGGCCAUGAACUUAUGUGGUCCAGAGGCCAGCUGUGGAGGCCGUCUGUUUUUCUACACCUAAAAGUCACGACAUGUGAGUACCUGACAGAAGCCUAGCGACAAGCUUCUAAGCAUUCAGCAGAGCACCGACCACGAACUGGACCGUUAGGAACAAAGGAAGAGGAUCGGUGACUGCAGAUUCUCCCCACCCCAGAGCUCUGACUUGGGAAAUUAUAUUUUCUUUUGCAUUUCCAAGUGAAUUGUGAAAAACUGGAUUUGUAUAAUAAACAAAAGCAUGAAGCCUACUGGAGCAAUCUGCUAACCAGAUGAUCACCUGGGUGAUCCGGCUGUUCCAGAACCUUAGGAGAACUACUCAUACUAUACAAUCUCGCUUUACACGUGAAAUGAUAGCCUUUGGAUAUUCAUGGUAUAUUGUAGACUGAAACUUCAGAUAUAUCAACAGGUGCACUUAAACUAACUCCAUGGGACGUAGCAAAAAUGAACAAGGUUGAAGUUGAAUUCUUUGAACACUUGUAUGAGGACAAUUCCCACGGAGACAGUUGUAAAUCCACAGGCCAUGCCCAAGAAGUCCACCAGGCCCACAUUGCUCCACUCCCGGAAGAGGAUGGCUGAAGCCAGUAGGACCAGCGUGGUAAACACAACGUAGUAGAUGGCCCCAAAUACAGAGGAGUCGAAGCACUCCAGGGCCUUGUUGAUGUACCUGAAUUGGACAAUGAUGCUGCAGCCCAGGACAGCCAGGAGCACCAGGCACAGGCAGAGGGCUCUCUGACUGGAUGGAUUGUUGUGCAAGAUGUCUUGGGCUGCCAGCCCAAUGCCCUUGGUGGAAGGCACAGUGAAACUCCCCAGCAAGGAGCAGAUGCUGAUGUAGACCAUGAUGUUGGUGGGCCCGUGGGCUGGUGCGAUCCAGAAGAUCAACAGCAGCAGCAUGAGCAGCACGAUGCACAGGUAGCCCACAAACACUGCAAGACAGAUGGCACACAGUGACCAGGGAGGCCAUCCCCCCAAACACCAUCAAGAGGUCAGAGCUGAACCAGGGCCCGAUCCCUUUCCAGCCACCCCUUCAACCAGGGGGAGAGAGACCUAAGGGAGGACAGGUAACCAACCACUCAAUAGCUCUAACUUAAGUUUAUUAACACUCACUAAGUCCAUUCC